UUCCCUCUCCCUCUCUCGUUUCUCUUUCCCCACGAUCUCCAAACCUCGCCUCUCUCGAUUAAACGAAAACCCUAACUCAGUCACAACUAUAACCACCUUACUUCCAUAACGAACACAGAAGAAUCCCGGAUCUUCUUCUUCUCAUAUAUGGAUGUUUUUGGUAACAAAAUCGACUUCAUCUGAAAUCGGUCAAGGGUUUGCUCAAGUCACUGUGUUUUCAUUACUCUUUCUCUAGCAGAUGAAGAUUGAUGAACAAGAUGAAGGAUGCUGGAACUUCUAAAAGAGAACAUGCAGUCAUGUAGAAGAUUAAAGAAGCACACAGGAGAGUGAUGGUGGCUAACCAUCCUCACAAGGGUGGGAGCAUGUAUCUUGCUAAAAAGAUCAAUGAGGCUGAGGUACUUUUGAUGGAUGAGGGUCGAUUUCAAUUCUUUCCAUGUGAAGGUAGGACUGAUUGUUGAGCUAGAAGUCAUAGAACAAGUCAAGCUGGUGUUUUAUAAAACAAGAAGAAUAAUCAACCAAGAGGGGAAGUUAUAUCCAGAAAUGUAUUGGUUGAUGAAUGUUCAAGGCAGGUUGUCGAGUUGGAGCAAGCAGCCAUGUGGAAGUUUCUUUGGUGGUCGGGAAUCAUAGCUGUCCAUGUUAUGGUUGGCCAAAACAUAGAUGAUCAUUCGGAAGGACUCAUGCUGGUUGUUGCAACAAUCUGACAAGAUAUAUGCUGGAGCAUUUUGACAGUGUUUCAGUGAUUCGAAUCACAGGAAACUUUUGGGGUGCCAAAACAAUCCCAAGCACAACAUGAGAUGCUUAACAUGCUGAAGCCAAGGCUCUUCUUGUACCACACUAUGGGUUACCGAGCUGGAACUGCAGUUUACUUCAAAGGGGACUGAAUCAUUCUGAAGAUGUAUGCUAUGCUAUCUAGUGUUCAAAUCACCAUAGUUAACUAUUGCUGUUAUAGUGGUCUCUGUCAAGUUUUCUAGAUUUUUGGCUAGUUAGUGUCAGUAUUAUUCGAAAAAAAUAUUGUCUUUAGGUUUCUGUUAGUAUUAUUUUGUAACAUUUGAUAAGGUCUUAUUUGGAAUAAAGUUUCUGUUAAU